rnacentral:ncRNA from 1 species
CCUUUGGAGUGUUAAGACCACUUGAGUAGCUAGAAAUAGCAAAAGAGAACACGAUGAACAAGGAA